rnacentral:tRNA from 1 species
AGAGAAUUGACCGAGUGGUUUAAGGUGGUUAGUUUGAGUUUAACUAUGGAUUACCCCAUCAUAGGUUCGAAUCCUAUAUUCUCUG